rnacentral:rRNA from 1 species
UAAAUACUCCUGACUGACCGAUAGUGAACCAGUACCGUGAGGGAAAGGCGAAAAGAACCCCGGCGAGGGGAGUGAAAAAGAACCUGAAACCGUGUACGUACAAGCAGUGGGAGCACGCUUAGGCGUGUGACUGCGUACCUUUUGUAUAAUGGGUCAGCGACUUAUAUUCUGUAGCAAGGUUAACCGAAUAGGGGAGCCGAAGGGAAACCGAGUCUUAACUGGGCGUUAAGUUGCAGGGUAUAGACCCGAAACCCGGUGAUCUAGCCAUGGGCAGGUUGAAGGUUGGGUAACACUAACUGGAGGACCGAACCGACUAAUGUUGAAAAAUUAGCGGAUGACUUGUGGCUGGGGGUGAAAGGCCAAUCAAACCGGGAGAUAGCUGGUUCUCCCCGAAAGCUAUUUAGGUAGCGCCUCGUGAAUUCAUCUCCGGGGGUAGAGCACUGUUUCGGCAAGGGGGUCAUCCCGACUUACCAACCCGAUGCAAACUGCGAAUACCGGAGAAUGUUAUCACGGGAGACACACGGCGGGUGCUAACGUCCGUCGUGAAGAGGGAAACAACCCAGACCGCCAGCUAAGGUCCCAAAGUCAUGGUUAAGUGGGAAACGAUGUGGGAAGGCCCAGACAGCCAGGAUGUUGGCUUAGAAGCAGCCAUCAUUUAAAGAAAGCGUAAUAGCUCACUGGUCGAGUCGGCCUGCGCGGAAGAUGUAACGGGGCUAAACCAUGCAC